rnacentral:rRNA from 1 species
UACGGAGGGUGCAAGCGUUAUUCGGAUUUAUUGGGCGUAAAGGGCGUGUAGGUGGUCUGAUAAGUCAGGUGUGAAAGCCCCUGGCUCAACCAGGGAAUUGCAUUUGAAACUAUCAGACUUGAGUACGGGAGGGGGAAGUGGAAUUCCUGGUGUAGAGGUGAAAUUCGUAGAUAUCAGGAGGAAUACCGGUGGCGAAGGCGACUUCCUGGACCGAUACUGACACUGAGACGCGAAAGCGUGGGGAGCAAACAGG